rnacentral:rRNA from 1 species
GAUGAACGCUGGCGGCGUGCUUAACACAUGCAAGUCGAACGGGAAUUACUUUAUUGAAACUUCGGUCGAUUUAAUUUAAUUCUAGUGGCGGACGGGUGAGUAACGCGUGGGUAACCUGCCUUAUACAGGGGGAUAACAGUCAGAAAUGGCUGCUAAUACCGCAUAAGCGCACAGAGCUGCAUGGCUCAGUGUGAAAAACUCCGGUGGUAUAAGAUGGACCCGCGUUGGAUUAGCUUGUUGGUGGGGUAACGGCCCACCAAGGCGACGAUCCAUAGCCGGCCUGAGAGGGUGAACGGCCACAUUGGGACUGAGACACGGCCCAGACUCCUACGGGAGGCAGCAGUGGGGAAUAUUGCACAAUGGGGGAAACCCUGAUGCAGCGACGCCGCGUGAAGGAAGAAGUAUCUCGGUAUGUAAACUUCUAUCAGCAGGGAAGAUAGUGACGGUACCUGACUAAGGAGCCCCGGCUAACUACGUGCCAGCAGCCGCGGUAA